GCCCGGGUGGCGGAAUUGGUAGACGCUACGGUCUCAAACACCGUUGAUAGCAAUAUCGUGUGGGUUCGAGUCCCACCCCGGGUA
rnacentral:tRNA from 1 species